GAUCAUGGCUCAGGAUGAACGCUGGCGGCGUGCCUAACACAUGCAAGUCGAGCGAUAAAUUCACAAUCGAAUCUUCGGAAGAGAGAGUGAAUGGAAAGCGGCGGACGGGUGAGUAACGCGUAGGUAACCUGCCCUGUACAGAGGGAUAGCCACUGGAAACGGUGAUUAAUACCUCAUAACACCGAGAAUUCACAUGAAAAUUCGGUCAAAGAUUUAUCGGUACAGGAUGGACCUGCG
rnacentral:rRNA from 1 species